rnacentral:rRNA from 1 species
AGUGAACGCUGGCGGUAGGCCUAACACAUGCAAGUCGAACGGCAGCACAGUAAGAGCUUGCUCUUACGGGUGGCGAGUGGCGGACGGGUGAGGAAUACAUCGGAAUCUACUUUUUCGUGGGGGAUAACGUAGGGAAACUUACGCUAAUACCGCAUACGACCUACGGGUGAAAGCGGGGGAUCUUCGGACCUUGCGCGAUUGAAUGAGCCGAUGUCGGAUUAGCUAGUUGGCGGGGUAAAGGCCCACCAAGGCGACGAUCCGUAGCUGGUCUGAGAGGAUGAUCAGCCACACUGGAACUGAGACACGGUCCAGACUCCUACGGGAGGCAGCAGUGGGGAAUAUUGGACAAUGGGCGCAAGCCUGAUCCAGCCAUACCGCGUGGGUGAAGAAGGCCUUCGGGUUGUAAAGCCCUUUUGUUGGGAAAGAAAAGCAGCAGGUUAAUACCCCGCUGCUCUGACGGUACCCAAAGAAUAAGCACCGGCUAACUUCGUG